rnacentral:rRNA from 1 species
GAUGAACGCUGGCGGCGUGCCUAAUACAUGCAAGUCGAGCGAACAGACGAGAAGCUUGCUUCUCUGACGUUAGCGGCGGACGGGUGAGUAACACGUGGAUAACCUACCUAUAAGACUGGGAUAACUUCGGGAAACCGGAGCUAAUACCGGAUAAUAUUUUGAACCGCAUGGUUCAAUAGUGAAAGACGGUUUUGCUGUCACUUAUAGAUGGAUCCGCGCUGCAUUAGCUAGUUGGUAAGGUAACGGCUUACCAAGGCGACGAUGCAUAGCCGACCUGAGAGGGUGAUCGGCCACACUGGAACUGAGACACGGUCCAGACUCCUACGGGAGGCAGCAGUAGGGAAUCUUCCGCAAUGGGCGAAAGCCUGACGGAGCAACGCCGCGUGAGUGAUGAAGGUCUUCGGAUCGUAAAACUCUGUUAUUAGGGAAGAACAUAUGUGUAAGUAACUGUGCACAUCUUGACGGUACCUAAUCAGAAAGCCACGGCUAACUACGUG